AGAGUUUGAUCCUGGCUCAGGAUUAACGCUGGCGGCGUGCCUAACACAUGCAAGUCGAACGAGGUAGCAAUACCUAGUGGCAGACGGGUGAGUAACGCGUGGUCAACCUACCGUUGAGUGGGGGAUAACUAACCGAAAGGUUAGCUAAUACCGCAUACGUGUUCGGGGGGCAUCCCCUGAAUAUAAAAGGAGCAAUCCGCUCGAUGACGGGACCGCGUCCCAUUAGCUAGUUGGUGGGGUGAAGGCCUACCAAGGCUCCGAUGGGUAGCUGGUUUGAGAGAGCGACCAGCCACACUGGAACUGAGAAACGGUCCAGACUCCUACGGGAGGCAGCAGUGAGGAAUUUUCCGCAAUGGGCGAAAGCCUGACGGAGCGACGCCGCGUGUGGGAAGAAGGCCUUCGGGUCGUAAACCACUGUCGGAGGGGACGAUAAUGACGGUACCCUGGAGGAAGCCCCGGCUAACUACGUGCCAGCAGCCGCGGUA
rnacentral:rRNA from 1 species